AGAGUUUGAUCCUGGCUCAGAACGAACGUUGGCGAGAUGUUUUAGGCAUGCAAGUCGAGCGGCAGCAUGGGUGCUUGCACCUGAUGGCGAGCGGCGAACGGGUGAGUAACACGUAGGUAUCUGCCUCACAGACUGGGAUAGCUACUGGAAACAGUAAUUAAUACCGGAUAUUGUCCCUCGGGAUGAAAGCUGCGCUUGCAGCACUGUGAGAUGAGCCUGCGCCCUAUUAGCUUGUUGGUAAGGUAAUGGCUUACCAAGGCAACGAUAGGUAGCCGACCUGAGAGGGUGAUCGGCCACAUUGGGACUGAGAUACGGCCCAGACUCCUACGGGAGGCAGCAGCUAAGAAUAUUCCGCAAUGGGCGAAAGCCUGACGGAGCAAUCUCGCGUGAGGGAUGAAGGCUUUAGGGUUGUAAACCUCUUUCGGCAGGGAAGAAUAAGAUAUACAGGAAAUGGUAUAUUGAUGACUGUACCUGCAUAAGAAGCACCGGCUAAUUACGUGCCAGCAGCCGCGGUAAUACGUAGGGUGCAAACGUUGUUCGGAAUCACUGGGCGUAAAGGGUACGUAGGCUGCUGAUUAAGUUAGUGGUGAAAGCCUGGGGCUUAACCUCAGGACUGCCAUUAAAACUGAUCAGCUAGAGUUGGAAUAGAGGCAACGGGAAUUCCAGGUGUAGGAGUGAAAUCUGUAGAUAUCUGGAGGAACACCAAUGGCGAAGGCAAGUUGCUGGGUACCGACUGACGCUAAUGUACGAAAGCCAGGGGAGCGAAUGGGAUUAGAGACCCCAGUAGUCCUGGCCGUAAACGCUGCAUACUAGUUUUAUGGGAUUUUUAUGUUCUGUAUAACAAAGCAAACGCGUUAAGUAUGCCGCCUGGGGAGUAUGCACGCAAGUGUGAAACUCAAAGGAAUUGACGGGGGCUCGCACAAGCGGUGGAGCAUGUGGUUUAAUUCGAUGAUACGCGAAAACCUUACCUAGGCUUGAACGUGUAGAGACUACUGGUGAAAGUCAGUUUCCCUUCGGGGCUCUAUGCGAGGUGCUGCAUGGCUGUCGUCAGCUCGUGUUGUGAAAUGUUGGGUUAAGUCCCGCAACGAGCGCAACCCUUACCCUAUGUUGCUACGUAGAAUUUAUUCUGCAGGACUCUUAGGGAACUGCCCUGGUUAACGGGGAGGAAGGUGGGGAUGACGUCAAGUCCUCAUGGCCCUUAUGUCUAGGGCUACACACGUGCUACAAUGGGGUGUACAAAGGGAUGCUAAAUCGCAAGGUCAAGCAAAUCCCAAAAAACACCCCCCAGUUCGGAUUGCACUCUGAAACUCGAGUGCAUGAAGUUGGAAUCGCUAGUAAUCACAGAUCAGCAUGCUGUGGUGAAUACGUUCUCGAGCCUUGUACACACCGCCCGUCACACCACCCGAGUUGAAUUUGCCCGAAGUCACUGUACCAACCGCAAGGAGGGAAGUGCCGAAGGUAGAUUUGGUAAGGAGGGUGAAGUCG
rnacentral:rRNA from 1 species